rnacentral:rRNA from 1 species
CAGCAGCCGCGGUAAUACGAGGGGUGCAAGCGUUAAUCGGAAUUACUGGGCGUAAAGCGUGCGUAGGCGGUGAGUUAAGUCUGCUGUGAAAUCCCCGGGCUCAACCUGGGAAUGGCAGUGGAUACUGGCUCGCUAGAGUGUGUCAGAGGAUGGUGGAAUUCCCGGUGUAGCGGUGAAAUGCGUAGAGAUCGGGGGGAACAUCAGUGGCGAAGGCGGCCAUCUGGGCCAACACUGACACUGAGGCACGAAAGCGUGGGGAGCAAACAGGAUUAGAUACCCGUGUAGUCCCUGUCUCUUAUAC